rnacentral:rRNA from 1 species
UACCAUUUGGAAACAGAUGCUAAUACCGGAUAAAAGACUACUUUCGCAUGAAAGAAGUUUAAAAGGACGGCGUAAGCUGUCGCUAAAGGGAUGGACCUGCGAUGCAUUAGCUAGUUGGUAAGGUAACAGCUUUACCAAGGCGAUGAUGCAUAGCCCGAGUUGAGAGACUGAUCGGCCACAUUGGGACUGAGACACGGCCCAAACUCCUACGGGAGGCAGCAGUAGGGAAUCUUCCACAAUGGACGAAAGUCUGAUGGAGCAACGCCGCGUGAGUGAAGAAGGUUUUCGGAUCGUAAAGCUCUGUUGUUGGUGAAGAAGGAUAGAGGUAGUAACUGGCCUUUAUUUGACGGUAAUCAACCAGAAAGUCACGGCUAACUACGUGCCAGCAGCCGCGGUAAU